GUGUCAGCCGCCGCGGUAAUACGUAGGAUGCAAGCGUUGUUCGGAAUUACUGGGCGUAAAGCGCGUGUAGGCGGCCUCCUCAGUCUGGUGUGAAAGCCCGGGGCUCACCCCCGGAAGUGCAUUGGAUACUGGGAGGCUCGAGUACCGGAGAGGAGGGUGGAAUUCCUGGUGUAGCGGUGAAAUGCGUAGAUAUCAGGAGGAACACCGAUGGCGAAAGCGGCGCGCUGGACCGCAACUGACGCUGAGAGACGAAAGCUAGGGGAGCAAACAGGAUUAGAUACCCUGGUAGUCCUAGCCCUAAACCAUCAGGACUUGGCGUGGGCCCCGUCCGGGGUCCGUGUCGUAGCCAACGUGAUAAGUCCUGCGCCUGGGGAGUACGGUCGCAAGGCUGAAACUUAAAGGAAUUGACGG
rnacentral:rRNA from 1 species